AUUUAACAAUUGGAUCUUUUUACAAUAGAUUUUGCAAUUUUGACUAUCAUUGUUGUUUAAUUUAUUUAUUUUCAGGUACCCCUGCCAGAAGGACAGGAGCGCCGAGUCGUUGGAAUCGUCAGGAGUCAUCACGGGCAGGCGCCUGUAGUGUGUUGGCUGUGAUUUGUUGUGGCCGCUGGAGGAGCGCCGCUUGCAACGAGCUCGUCCCGGUCGGUGUUGCAAGCAGUUGAAUAAGUUUUGAAGAAGCUAGAAUCCCGCGCAGCCGUCAUUGGGAUGUAAUGGAGCUGCUGUCAACAUGGUGGUGGAAACGAAGGUUGCACGGUGCGCCGCGUCCUGUGGCCAUUGCGUCGGGACUGGCAGCUAGGAGCUUCCAGAUCAGGAAAAGUUGCCGAGGACCGCCGCAUCGGAAGAGGUCAUGGUGUUUCAGGAUGUUCCGGGUCAAGGAUUGUUGUCGGGGACCGUAGCAGCGAUUUGGGCCAUGGAAAUGAAUGUAAAGAUAAAUUUUAGGGGCCCAGGCUGAACGAUAUUUGGAGGUAGGCUGUUCUGAAGGUGCGUUUGUAGCAGCUAAUUUAGAGGCCGUCGUAGCUGUGAUGCCGUGGUUUUUGGGUUCUUCAAGCUUGCGAUUAAUAUGGAGGUGA